GGGAAAAGUUGAAAAUGCUUUUACCGAAGAGCCCCUACAGCGUUUUAAACCAAUCAUCAUUCAAAUCCCCCCCCCUACAGCGCUAACUUACACGGCCUCGUGUAAGUUAGGCGGUACAUCUUGUAGCUGCAAUUAUUAUAUUAAUAUUGUGAGGGAUUUUUUUUUUUUUUUUUUGUGGGAGACGAUUAAUAUCAGAAUGAAAGGAAGGAAAAUUGAUGGCGGAAUAGAGCGAAGGUAGAUACACUAGAGCUGUCUUUUAAAAUAAAAGAUUUAAAAAUUCUCUU
rnacentral:lncRNA from 1 species